rnacentral:rRNA from 1 species
UACGGAGGGGGCCAGCGUUGUUCGGAAUUAUUGGGCGUAAAGGGCUCGUAGGCGGCCAACUAAGUCCGACGGGAAAUCCCCAGGCUUAACCUGGGAACUGCGUCGGAUACUGGAUGGCUUGAAUCCGGGAGAGGGAUGCGGAAUUCCAGGUGUAGCGGUGAAAUGCGUAGAUAUCGUAAGGAGGACCAGUGGCGAAGGCGGGUCUCUGGACAGUUCCUGACGCUGAGGCACGAAGGCCAGGGGAGCAAACGGG